GUGAAGAACGUAGCGAAAUGCGAUACUUGGUGUGAAUUGCAGAAUCCCGUGAACCAUCGAGUCUUUGAACGCAAGUUGCGCCCGAAGCCAUUAGGCCGAGGGCACGCCUGCCUGGGCGUCACACGUCGUUGCCCCCCCAUCUACUCCUUCGGGAUUGCGGGGGGCGGAUGAUGGCCUCCCGUGCGCCUCGCCGCGCGGUUGGCAUAAAUGCCAAGUCCUCGGCGACGCACGCCACGACAAUCGGUGGUUGCGAAACCUCGGUUGCCCGUCGUGUGCGGUCGUCGCGCAUCGAGGGCUCGAAAAAAUUGCCGGGUUCCGGCUCGGCUUUCAACGCGACCCCAGGUCAGGCGGGGUUACCCGCUGAAUUUAAGCAUAUCAAUAAGCGGAGGA
rnacentral:misc_RNA from 1 species